CAUGGUAUUCUGGCAAAACAAAAUUAAAUCAGGUACCGGCAUGUAAAGCCGAGUUGCACUUCUCAUUGUUAACGAUGAUGUGAAUAUGAUAAAAGAAGCUGAUCCGGUAAUGAAACUUAAGCAAAAUUCAACCGAGACUAUUUAUUUGGCUGGCAUCGUGUCCUGGCUAUGACUAAGUUAGUUAAGUGCUUUGGAGAAUAGCUUGACUCCCUCUUCUUUGUGGCAGCCCCUGAGAUACAUGGAGAAUCCUAAAGUGUGCCAAAAUACAAAAGCAGUUGAGGGCAAAAACCUUACUAGUACUGGGAAUUCAAACAUCCUAAGAAUCGAAAGCAUGUAUAAGUGAUUCAAACCUGCCAUGAAUUGGGUAUGAACACCCUGGACAAUUUAAUUUUGACUGAAAAAGUAUAUUUCCUCUGGCACUUUGGAAGAAGCUCUGGCUACAGAUGCCAUAAAGAAGCAUCACCAGUAAACUGGAUUCUUUCACGUUUUUCAUAAUUGUCUAAGCAUUGAAGAAAUCUGAAGAAAUCCCAAUCCUAUGUGUCAGUGGCAAACAAACAAGAACUCUAUAAAGUACAUUGGCUAACAGAGAGAUUAAUGCCAACCCUAUGGAUCUCAGGUGCGGAUCCCAGGACCGUAGGAUAAAUUGGAUCCUUACCCUCCAAAGCAGCAGGACUUUCUGAAACUGGAGAAGAGGAAUUUGACAUCAUUCCUGAAUUCCUGUUUUAGGGAAUUUACUUCUUACCAAGAUCUGGAAAUCCUGAUUAUGAAAAGCCCACAAAGAAGAUAUUAGGAGGGAGGAGGAUGUAAAAGUAAGGAUUUGCUCAAAGCAACUUUGUCUCUUUGACAAGAAUAAAAAAAAAGAAUAACAUGGGCAAGGCUGGUAUUUUUCUCCAAGCAUAGUGUCAACAUGUGCUGAACUCCAAUUCAUAAAAUUCCUGGUUCUGGUUGUUCCAUCAAGCACAACAGGAAGACAUGCUGGGAUUGAAGAAUUAAGUUUGGCAGAUGUGUAUUUUUCUUCUUCUUGCAUAAUGUUGCAUAAUACUCUAUUUGAUUUAUUUUAUGUACAGGCUCAUAUUUUAUUUUUCAAGGACGUGUUUUCCUCUUUUUUUAUUUUUCCUCCCUAAUUGCUCGAGCCUUUGAACCAUUAUCCUUGCCACUAGAAAUUCAGGGCGAGGUCAAGCAAAUUAUGUCCAUACUUUUAUUACAUUGCAAUUGGACUGUGACACUGUAUUCCAUGUGGGUCUUUGUUACAAAACUCGAAGCUUCAAUCAGUGCUGAAUGUUAGGCUGCUAACUGGUGCAUAAUAUCAGAAUCAUCUUAUGAGCAUGUUGAUCUACAUCAGAGAUGGUAUUCAGCAGGUUCUGACCAGUUCUGGAGAACCGGUA